rnacentral:tRNA from 1 species
GUUUCUAUAGUUUAAAUAAAACGCUGGUCUUGUAAACCUGAGAUACGCUUCCGGGCGUUCUAAACA